UUCCAUCAACUCCCCCCGUUCCCCUCCUCCCCUUUCCAUUUUACCUUCUCGCCCGUCCCCGAAUUCUUCCACCUCCCAUCCCGUGCAGCCGGCCUCACCGCCGGCGACGGGACGCGGAGACCCGGGCUGCCGGUACCGUCAGCCGUGCUCCUUCCUCUCUUCGUCGCCCCCGCCAAAACCUUCAUCUGCCGGGGCUGCACCGGCGGCCCGGGACAACAAAAGCUCGAGAUCCGGUGACUGAUCUCUUCGUUCCUCGGUUCACUUUGAUAUUCCAACAAAGGUCACAUUGCUAGACUCCCAGAUUGGUUCCUAACAAUGAGGGCACAUGAACGAGCUGCCAGUUUGGCUCUUGCCUGUCUGAGCUUGGCUCCACUUCUGGUUA
rnacentral:lncRNA from 7 species